GUUCCCUUGCGUCGUGGUUCGUCCGCCGAAGCGCCGCAGUUUCGUAAGGAGAUAACGCAUGCGGAUUGCAGCGUUCGGACGUUUUGUUUUCGUGCCCAGUCAAACCGCAGUCGCGAAGUUAUUAUUUGUUCGGUCGCGCUCCGAAGUGAUUUUGCAAAUAUUCAGCUCCGUUUCCCUUUCGGAGUACAAUUUGUGCCUCGUUUUAAUUCACGUGUGCGUGUUUCAAGUGUCCCUUGUUUGUGAAGUGUGAGUAUGUGAAUUUGUGAAGUUGUGAUGAAUUCGCCGAAAUCAAAUGACAAGGCAUCGAGGAAUUCGGAUAAAAGGAAACCUACACCAUCAUUUUCAUCUCACAAUGAUUCGGCAGGCGAUAACAUCGAGCUCUCACAGAAUCAAAUUCUGGAGCGAGUCAAGUCAGACCGGGUGACGGUGACGAAACCGGAGGAGGACCGACGGAGACGCACCAUCAUCGUCGAGAAGAAGAACGGAUACUUCGGCUUCUCACUCCAGAGCUACGGGAUUCACUACAAGAAGGAGCAGGAGAUCGAGAUGAUCACAUACGUGGAUCAUGUAGAUUACGACGGCCCGGCCUACAGAGCGGGCAUGCGCCAAGGAGAUGUAAUAUUAUCAAUUAAUGGCCAUGAUAUGGAAAAAACUGAUCAUAAAACUCUCGUUAAUUUUAUAAAAAAUUGCGAUUCGCGCAUGAGAAUGGUUGUCCUCUUUGAAGACUGCGUAAGAAAGGUGGAAUUACACAUGAGGUAUAUCAAACUACAAAGGAUUCUGCAAAAUAAAACCCUAGAAUUAGAAAAAUUAUGUUUAAAAGAGAAAGAAUUACUUGAAGGAAAAUGGAAAACUCGAAGUUUGCCAGCACGGAAGAAAGCAAGCUCAAGCAGUAGAACUGAUGGCAGCUCUAAUGUACCUCUUGAAAAUGGUGAUUCAGAGCAUGUUCGGCCGACGCACUCUACGGAAGAUGUAGGCGGUCAAGAAACAGGAGCAAGUCGAAAUUCAGGACAGAAACUACUCAUGUUCCGCCCCUACCAAUACACAGAUGCUCAAGGGUGUACCAUUUUCAUUCACCCUACUACCACUCCUAGUUCCAGUUCUGAGUAUUUGCUCGCCAGUUGGCAAGGUUCCAACUCAGAAUCCGUAUCAGUCAUGAAACAACCUAGAUCUAAUCAACAUUGCCAAAGACAAAAUAGUUAUCAACAUCACAGAGAUAGUUCAAACCGAAGACGAAGUGUGUUUGAAGACGUGCCUCGAAGUUAUGAAAGAACGAAUGGAUAUGCAAUUAGCAGCAGUAAACCUAGUAAAAGCAAAAUCCCUCACGAUUCAAAAAAAGAGCGAAGUUCACGCCUUAGUCUUCACCACUCGUGUAACCCUUGUAUAAAGCCCAACCCACUCGAUAACACGAGUCUGGAGGCUUACGAUCUUGCUAGUCCCUGCUGCAGCGCGCACUGCAUUCCCAGAAGGCGCUCGCGGCACAAAUCUAAGUCCCGUAAAUCGUCUUGCUCGCAUGAGUCGAACAAAGAACCCAUUGAUAAAGGGAACUCAAGAUCGGUCCAGGUUUCAAUCGUUCACACAGCCUCCAACCGAUACCCAAAAACCAUCAUUGCAGGUGGGGCAGGCCCCCACCGCUACGUCAAUCUAGUCAGUCAGUACAGCCUUCAGUCCUGUCCCUCGAGCGAAUUCAGUCAUCACGCAGAGAGCGAUCCCAAAACGCUCGAUUACGACUCGAGUGCUGCUUCUUACACAACAUCGCUGAGCACAGACACGCUGUACUGGGAUCACCCAAGCGAUGCUCAUCACCAUCGGCAUUCGGUUAAAGCGACAUCGCACCGACGAAGUCAAGAAGCCGUGAAACCCGUCAAAUCCUGGGACAACCUCACCACAAAAGCGUUUGAUAAGCGGCAGCUUCGUGACAUAAGGUAAAAAGCACUUUGAGUUUGGGUAGUGGUAUUUGAAGUCCAUGGCUCAUUUUUUUCACUUGAUUCAUAUAAGACUCAAGUGACAAACCAAACAGACUUUUCCUAUUGAAGAUCUUUUUGUAAAGAGAGGUCUUUGUUAAUUCAAAACUGAUUGUACAGAAGAUAUCGAAUGUGAUCUGUCUUUACCUGUCAAUUGUGAGUCUUUUUACUUAAACAGCAACUAUCUAACCACUGCUCAUGUGCCUAACCAAUCGCCUCUCUCACUCACAUCCUAGCACUACUGUGUUUGAUCUGCAUGUGGCCUGCAUAGUUUGGCCUGCAGGUUAGUUGAGAAGUCCAUGUUUUAGCAGUGGUAAUCUAACCAAGUUUGUAAAGCUGACUUUUUUCCAUUUAAAUGUACGUAAAACCGAGUGUUAGUGAUUUUGCCAACGCUCAUAAAAUUUGAGUAAAAACUGUCUGCGUUAACGCAGCUGCAGUCACUCUCUUUAUUAGAUGUGAAUAGUUGCACCAAACAGCAUUGAUCUCUUGAGAGGAAAUUUGUGUUAUGAUGAAAAAAUAAAUUUUAUACUGGAAUUUAACGCAAGUUGGCAAAAUCACUGACACUCUGACUACAGGACAUAUGUGCUGAACUGCAAUCAGUUUGUUUGUAAAACAAUCGAUAUUCAUCAAGGCAAGCUUCCUACCCUAGAAUUGAUUGCUUAUAUGUAUUACAUUAAAUGGAGGAGAAAUAGUGUUACCAACUUGGGAUAACUGAACUGUGUUCAAAUGAUGACUAGGAAAAACCAUCAUCCUUGGGAGGUGACUGAUUCCAAGAAUGUAAAAUGAAAAUUUGUAAUGUAUCGUAAAGUUUUAUCAUUAAUUAUGAAUAAUAAUGAAACCAUUUUCAAGAUGUAGCAGUCGAAGUUAUAAAUCAAAAAUUAAUUUUUAUCACUGUUUACCUUGAAAGAAUGUAACACUUGUUUAGAAUACUUCUUCUCAAUAAGUCAUGAAACAAUGCUUGCUUUCACCUCUUCUAAAAUUUAACCUCUUGAAUCUAACACUUUUCUUUGAUUGUGAAAUUUUAUCAGCACAAUAAUAUUGAAGCUGCAGAAAUGUGUGUCUCGGUUUGCAGCGUUGUAGACUUCCUGCCACACUUCAUUUUUUACUAAAAAGAACUUCUGAACAUCAUUUCUGGAAAACUAAGGUACUCAAUUUUUUUCUUAAAUGAAAAAUAUUUUGUGAACAUUUCAAGGCAUGAUGAUGGUUCGGCCUAUUUUUGAAAAAUGAAAUAGGAGCAGAGAUUUUGAAACACCGCAACCGAGAUAGGCAUUUGUACAGUUUCACAGUCAAAAUUGCUUUUUAUAAGUUCUCAAGUUCAUCUUACAGGUAACAAAUCAUAUAAUUGUUUGCAGUCUAUAUAGGAAUUAACCAAUGAUGUACAUUGGUAUGAAUAUUUGAGUCCUUACUUAUUUUCAAGUUCCAAAGAACGCAAUUUUUCAGAAUGAUACUUUACUCCUUGGUGUUUGGGUGUGCGUUUCUAUUUUACUGCUUGAGAACUAAACCUCUGAGCACCCUGCUUACAUUAAUUUUUUCUGCCUCAAAUGCUUUGAUUUGACAACUCUAGAACUUGGUCAAGUUACGUUCAAAUACUUUGUCAAUGGGCCGGCACAAGGGUCUUGGCUUAGAUCUUUUUGUAAAAAAUUUAAUUAUAGAAAGAUCAUGAUCUCAGUGUCAUAAGUCGUCUUCCCUCACUUGAAGAAACAUAUCUUGACUGUGCUGUUACAGUAUGUCCAAGAACAUUUUAAUUUUUACAGGAUAACAUUCGCUUGAAUUUGUCUGAAAAUUAUAGAAUCUUUUUUUACCAGUGUGAAGAAAAAUCACCAGAGAUAUCAGGCAAAUUCAUGAAAUAGUUUCCUUAUAGAAAAGUAAAAUGUCCAUCAGAAAUAAUGAAAUGAUGCAAUCAAGAUAUGUUAUUCUUUGCAGAAGAUGGAAUUCUUUUUUGAAUCAGGAAGUGAAAACUCUAUAGAAUUUUGCGACUAAAAGAUAAUUUGUGUCUCUCAAUAAAUAUGAGACUCAAAAUUUAUGUUGCCAACUGUGAUAUAAGUUUAUUGUCUUUGACCAUUGAAAUUAAGUUGUAUGCAAUUAAAGUUGUACUAGAAUUUGAGUACACUGAACGAUAAAAAAAAUGUAAGAUUAAUCAUUCAGUUAGUCUGCAAAACACUAACUAUAAUAAAAACUAUUAAUUUUGACAUCCCAAAGGAAAACCUUAAUAAUUUUUCAGCGAUCAUUUUAGUUGUUUUGUGAUUGUCAAAAACGACGAUAAAUAUUUCUGCAUUCAAAUUUAGCCGAAUUUUUGUUGUUAAAAAGCCCUCUUCCCAAACAAUCAGUGUGAGCAGUUUGUUCCUAUAUAUCCCCUUGACCGUGGGCCAGUCAUAAAGACCAGUCCCUAAAGUCUUUAGAAAAAAAGACCUCCCCCCAAUAUCAAGUUCAUGUUCCAAGUUAAUUCAUUUCUUUAAGCUUAGUUGCAAGGAGUCUCUCAAUUUAUGCUUUUUUUGACGACUACCUUGAGUGAGUGUCUUUUCGCCAAUUGGAAUCGAUCAUUAUGACUGACCUGCUUGUUGACCCAAGGGAAACGAAAGCACAAAAACUGAUUGAUAGGGAAGGAUCAAAACCUGCAUUAAAAGCCUCAAUAGACCCUUGUGCCUCCAUCUUGAUCAGUCGCUUUGUAUCUGUGAAGAAAUAACGCGUAGACCCUCCAGGUCACUGAUCUAUUAUUUAGUUCUAUGAAACAUAUUACAGCCCCAAUCAAAAGCAAGGAAUGGAUAUUUUUGACGAAAUUGAGCUAUUUGCAAUUUUGAAUCUGAUUCGAGAAAGGCAAGUUUCAGGAUCUUAAUCGCAAAUUUACCUCUUAAAGGAGAACCUAAGGGGUGUUUUUUUCCAGAAUUUUUUCCUCUGAACAUUGUCGAAUCAUGAAAAAUUUUCAGUAAAAAUUUCUAUGAAAUAUACUCUCUCCCUUUCCUUACAAUGAAUGAAAUAUUAGCAGAGAUUCUGGAACAUUGUAACCAGAAAACACCCUCUCUGUACCCAGCGUCUCAAUUGCGGUUUUGUAGCUUCCUCAAAAUCGAAAAAUGUUACCUAGCAUCUUGAUUCCUCGAAGUUUUCAAUUAUGGUUUUACAGCAAAAUUAAACUCAAUUCAAGAAACUUCAAUCAUUCAAAUACAGAAUUCCUUUUCAAAAUGUUUCAAGGUUUAUGUUAAACCUAUAAAAGUUAUACAUAUCAUUUUUAUCAUAGAAAGGAGAGGUUGACAUCAAUAUGGUUACAUGCUUCGUACAUGUGUACAAAUGUACAUACUUCCAAUGUUUUUGGAGACAAAGGGAGGAGAGAAAAAUGAGUGAGACUGUAUCUUACAGGCAAAUAAUUAAUUGUAAUUGAAUUUUUCUCAAUGAAAGGGGGAACUGUGUAGUAUCUUAGCUCUUUUCUCUGAAUGUUACUUGAAAUUUUAAGAAUUUCAAACUUUGUUCAUGGCUCAAAGUAGGGCUAUAAAAUUUACCGUCAUUGUUAGAUUUUCCCGUUGUUAGGAUUGUAAAAAGCUCAAUUUUUUCAAAAAUUUCAGUCACGAAUGUCUGGCCCCAUGUCCCAGAAGUGUAUUUCAAAAUGAACAUUUCCAUACAAACUAAUUAUUGUUUCAAAAUAGAGGGCCCCUCCACUUUUAAGACUCCGUAAGCCAAGACCCACUCCUUAGGUGGCUCACACAGAAAUGCAACAAUCCCCAAGUAAUUUUUUUUCAUUCCAUUAUUUUUAAUGUUUCAAACGAUCAAAUGAUAUUAAACCGAAUCACUUAUGUGAAUACUGUGUUUUUCUAGUUUUAGAAGUUUACCGUAAGCUUGAAAAAGUCUCAUUGAUUUUUAAAUUCAUGUAGGAAGAGAGACACUAUUGAGUUGCAAGAAAGGAGAGUUUUUUCUUGUGCGAGUAUCAAAAAUGGUAUAAACCAUUAGAAUAAUUUUCACCGAUGUCUUCCGCAUUUGUGAUCAAAAUUCUUGAUUUGAUUUGACUUUUUUCCCUCUCUUUUAAAGUGUCGGUCCGAAACUGUUGGAGGUGAAAGUUAACCAGGAUUGACCGUUCCUUCUUCGGUCUGCAAUCAUGACGUAUGUAGUUCAGUCGAGUGUUUUGUGCAGCCUUUUUCAGCCAACUCCGUGCAAGGAUCAGGAACCAUGUAUAUUUUUAGUUAAUGUAUGUAUCAUUUCAGUCAAAGCAGUCCGGGAGAUUGUAGAAAAAUAUCCCAGGGUUCUCAGUCAUUUACCAUUAAUAUUUAAUGUAUUUCUUUUGUAAGUAGUGUUUCGAGUAAUAGCACUUCACCCGGAAUAUUUUUAUAUCUGUAUGUACCUAUGUCAGUUACUUAAGUUUAAUCUUUUCUAUGCAGCCUAAAAUUGAAUAGGAAUCUAAGCUGGGCCUAAGAGUGAACCAUUGAAUCAAGAUAUAUGAAAGAGGUGACAUCACAUUGCUUAUGUUACAUCCUACAAUAUCUUUUGGUAAUUUUACCCUUGUUUGGUCAUGGUCCUCAAACAUGAAGUUCAAAAAUUAUUUAGGAAUGAAGUGAAAUGUAAAAAAAUUUUGCUUACCUUCCAGAAAUAGAUUUGUAACUAUUAGCAUUUCUGCCAUUGUUUUGAAAGAAUGCUCCGCCAAGGGAAUGUAGUGAAGUAUCUCUUUGCUGGUUUAAUGGAAAUUCUUGAGUCGCAAAUCACGACUUGAGUACCUAUUGAGUGAAGAGAAUGAUAAACUCCUUGAAUCCUUCUUUGGCCAUUACUUGAACUUGCGGAUCAGUCUUUAAAUAUCUCUGCCACAAGGCUUUAUUAACCUUUGUUUAAGUAAGUAAUGGAACCUGUAUUCAAAAUUUCAUUGAAUUAACAUCAGGACACUUCAAAAUAUAGCACGCUCAAUCGAUCAUUGAGAUCAAAAAUGCGCAAUUCAUGUUUCCCCUCCAUGAAUUAAUUUUUCUUUUGGACCUUAUCUUUUAGACUGGAGAUCUACAGAACUGAAACUCAUUUUUUAGAAUCAUUGCUCAGUCCAGAUUGCGUAAAAUGCCAGUUAACAUUUACUUGACAAGUAAACAGGGCGCUUAGAAGUGAACUGUCCUUGGAAAGUUGAAAAUCAAUGAAAAAUUAUCAAAAUAUCAUUUAGGUUCAGUGGUACCAUGUUAUAACUAGUGGAAAAUGUGAUGUCUUAGCUGUAAGCGCCCCCAUGCUUCCCCUGUAUUUUAAUAUUUCAUUUUCAUCACAGAAACAACCCUUUGAAAUUUUAUAAACGAUAUUUUAAUCAGAUUUCAUCAAUAAAUGGCACAUCAGUUUGUUUUUCCCGGCAAAGUUACCAAUAGGGUCUUUAAACUUGAUGAGUCUUUUUACACUUCUUUCCACAACUAGUAUGAACGCCUCAGCAGGUUCAACUCAUUGUGUGAAAGAUGCAUUAAUUUUCUUUUUGUUUGUUUCUUUGAUUUUUUAAUUUUGUUGAUUUUAUUCUACAUUUUAUUUAUUUUAAUCUCAUUAUUUGUCAGUUUUUUCUCUUCUCCAAAAUAUUUUUGAUUGAACAUGAAGUUCAAUUUGUACUUAAUUGUAUCUCACCAAGUUAAAAAGUUGACUUUUUCUGGGAGCGAAGCACCAAUACAUUGCUCCUUCUGGUAAUUGCUAAAUCAAAAUUGUAUUAAGUUACCAUUUGUUAAAAAUCAACAAAUUUAUUCAUUAAAGACUGAGGUAUUUUACCAUUCA